UACGGAGGGUGCAAGCGUUAUCCGGAUUCACUGGGUUUAAAGGGUGCGUAGGUGGAGUGGUAAGUCAGUGGUGAAAUCUCCAAGCUUAACUUGGAAACUGCCGUUGAUACUAUCAUUCUUGAAUAUCGUGGAGGUAAGCGGAAUAUGUCAUGUAGCGGUGAAAUGCUUAGAUAUGACAUAGAACACCGAUUGCGAAGGCAGCUUGCUACACGAUCAUUGACACUGAGGCACGAAAGCGUGGGGAUCAAGCAGG
rnacentral:rRNA from 1 species